rnacentral:rRNA from 1 species
UACGAAGGGGGCUAGCGUUGCUCGGAAUCACUGGGCGUAAAGCGCACGUAGGCGGACUCUUAAGUCAGGGGUGAAAUCCUGGAGCUCAACUCCAGAACUGCCUUUGAUACUGGGAGUCUUGAGUUCGGGAGAGGUGAGUGGAACUGCGAGUGUAGAGGUGAAAUUCGUAGAUAUUCGCAAGAACACCAGUGGCGAAGGCGGCUCACUGGCCCGAUACUGACGCUGAGGUUCGAAAGCGUGGGGAGCAAACAGG